rnacentral:rRNA from 1 species
UGGGGAAUUUUGGACAAUGGGCGCAAGCCUGAUCCAGCCAUGCCGCGUGCGGGAAGAAGGCCUUCGGGUUGUAAACCGCUUUUGUCAGGGAAGAAACGCUCUGGGCUAAUACCCUGGGGUAAUGACGGUACCUGAAGAAUAAGCACCGGCUAACUACGUGCCAGCAGCCGCGGUAAUACGUAGGGUGCAAGCGUUAAUCGGAAUUACUGGGCGUAAAGCGUGCGCAGGCGGUUAUGCAAGACAGAUGUGAAAUCCCCGGGCUCAACCUGGGAACUGCAUUUGUGACUGUAUAGCUAGAGUACGGUAGAGGGGGAUGGAAUUCCGCGUGUAGCAGUGAAAUGCGUAGAUAUGCGGAGGAACACCGAUGGCGAAGGCAAUCCCCUGGACCUGUACUGACGCUCAUGCACGAAAGCGUGGGGAGCAAA